GAUGCUGGCAGCCCUGUGGGAGCCAGAAGUGGCUGUUACUCCUUCCAGCUCCCAAUCAGAUACCUUCACUCCUGUUGAGAAAUUGGUACCGGGAAGAGUUGCCCCCAGCGGGAGCAGAGAGGUCGUCAUGUGGUSAAGGUACUCCUGUUGAGCCCAGGAUUAUCCUCUGGUUCUCUUUGCAACGCAGAGCCCCGACACGGGCGCUUGAGGACAACAACUUGGCGGAAUCGUCC